rnacentral:rRNA from 1 species
UACGGAGGGUGCGAGCGUUGUCCGGAAUCACUGGGCGUAAAGGGCGCGUAGGCGGCUUCUCAAGCGUGUGGUGAAAGUCCGGGGCUCAACCCCGGAUCGGCCGUGCGGACUGGGGAGCUCGAGUUCUGUAGAGGCGGGUGGAAUUCCGGGUGUAGCGGUGGAAUGCGUAGAGAUCCGGAAGAAUACCGGUGGCGAAGGCG